rnacentral:rRNA from 1 species
GAUGAACGCUGGCGGCGUGCUUAACACAUGCAAGUCGAACGAAGCACUUUAUUUGAUUUCCUUCGGGACUGAUUAUUUUGUGACUGAGUGGCGGACGGGUGAGUAACGCGUGGGUAACCUGCCUUGUACAGGGGGAUAACAGUUGGAAACGGCUGCUAAUACCGCAUAAGCGCACGGCAUCGCAUGAUGCAGUGUGAAAAACUCCGGUGGUAUAAGAUGGACCCGCGUUGGAUUAGCUAGUUGGUGAGGUAACGGCCCCCCAAGGCGACGAUCCAUAGCCGACCUGAGAGGGUGACCGGCCACAUUGGGACUGAGACACGGCCCAAACUCCUACGGGAGGCAGCAGUGGGGAAUAUUGCACAAUGGGCGAAAGCGUGAUGCAGCGACGCCGCGUGAGCGAAGAAGUAUUUCGGUAUGUAAAGCUCUAUCAGCAGGGAAGAUAAUGACGGUACCUGACUAAGAAGCACCGGCUAAAUACGUG